UUGAAUUAAUUAGUAAUUAAUUAACAUUAUAUUUAUUUUAAAAUAUCAGUAUGUUUUAUUAUCCAAUUAUAAUGAAGAUUACUAAUUAUUAUUUCUCAUUCUUUAUCGCAAUUUCUUAAUUUCCAAGUAAUUAGCAAAAAUGCCUGACUGACUGUGGACUGUGGUUAGGUUACUGUCAUUGCCUAUUACUCUCACGUGGAAUUAUACAACCAAAAUUCAGUAAAAACUAAAACUAGUUGUUUUUGGGAUCACACAUUUUGGCUCUUCCCCGAUUACAAUUCCCAUUACCAAAAUAAAUAAACAAAGAAAUAUUUGUUGUAGUUUCUCCUUUUGGGCCCUAGCUUAUGGCUUAAUAAUUUCACAAGUAUACGAAUGUUCGUUAGCCUAAAUUAUAAUUAGUUUAGACAAUACAUAAAACUUAUAACACUAAUUAACAAUUUGGAUAUUAAUCAUUAGCUAUUCUCAAUACUAAUAGGCUAAUGCUUACUUAACUAGUAGACUAUAAUAGUUUUAACAAAAAUAAUUAAUUAUAAUCCUUAUUUAACUAGUAGACUAUAAUAGUUUUAACAAAAAUAAUCCUAAGAUCGAUUAAUGAUUUAUUAUUAAUUAAUAUCUCCAAUAAAAAUAAAACAAAUUUUAUUUUUUAACAUGGAGACUUUUGCGUUUUAGGCUUCUACCAUGGAAGUGACUUCUUCAUUUAAAGCUUACACCAUGGUAGAAGCUCAAACAACAGAAGUCUCUACCAUGAGGCAAGCUCAAAACAAAGAAGUCUAAGGCUAUUUGGAAUAUGAGCAGUAACUCAUGUGUAAGAAGAGAACAUUAAUUAGUUUUAAAUAGGAAAACAUUAAUUAACAAAGUGGGCUCCUUAACUAAACAUUAAUUAGCUUUUUUCCUUUACUCAACCUACAGUAUGCUUUUCUAGAGUUUUUUCCCUUUAAAAAAAAUAAAAAAUUAAAUUUGGAAUGCAAAAUGCAAAAACAUACGGAAUGAAAAAUGCCCAUCUAGCUAUGAAUUGAAAUAGUGCACACAUCACUUUCUUUCUUUCUCAUCUCAACUCAUCAGCAAAAUCAUUCAAACUUUAUCCGAAUUAACACAAAGUUGAAGUUUCAGAUCCAAUGCUACCAAUUAAUCAGAGAACAGGGACAUACCUUGCGAUUUGCCGGCGUUUUCCUUGCCACCACCGAAGCCGUUUUACCUCUCCUAGCCUUCACUCCCUUCGCCGCCGCUUGUCCCGCCUUAGCUGCUGUUGGAUCUACCAUACUCGCCGGCCGACCACUUUAACUCCCCUUCGCUUCUCUUCUGGCCGAAUUAUGGGUGGAGCGGAGGUGGAGCACCACGGGUAUCGUUGCCGGAAUUAUGGGUUGAGCGGUGGUGGAGCACCACGGGUCAUCAUUGCGGGUCUGACCUUUCUCUUCUUCGCCGGAAUUCUGGGUUUAGCGUAGGCCGUAGGCCCUUUUUUUGGAAUUCUAGGUUGAAGGUGGCCGGAAAUUUUUGCCGGAUUAUGGGUUGAAGGUGCCUGAAUCUGGUUGUUGGGUGUAUUUACCUCUGGUUGUUGGGUGUAUUUACCUCUACUGUAUUGAUGGAGGGAGUUGGAUUGAUGGGGGUAAAAAAUGUAAAAAAGUAAAGGGUAAAUAUAGAGAGGGGUAGUUGUGGAAUUUAAUAGGGCGGGUGAGUAUUUAUAGGGCGGGGUUUAGCGCUCCACUAAUAAUAACAAACAAGUGACCAGAAAAUGAACAUGAAUUGAGGUCCGUAUUCGUUUGUUUGUUAUUUAUCGAAUUUGCCGAUAAUUGUUAUUCGGAUCGGGUCGAAGGCCUUUUUCUGUGUGUUUAAUUUGUGUGAGUGGUUAACUGCGGGUUGUUUGUCAUAAACAAGUGAGAAUGUUGCUCAAAUCAUAUAUUCCAAAUGAUGCUUAUCUAAUCUGAUUGAGAAUUUAAAAUGACUAUUGUCAAUCUCUCUAUA